rnacentral:rRNA from 1 species
CUCGUAGGCGGUCGCGUACGGCGGUGGUGAAAGCUCCCGGCUCAACUGGGAGAGGCCCAUCGCAACGGCGUGACUCGAGGAUGGUAGAGGCAGAUGGAAUUCCUGGUGUAGCGGUGAAAUGCGUAGAGAUCAGGAGGAACACCCGUGGCGAAGGCGGUCUGCUGGGCCAUAUCUGACGCUGAGGAGCGAAAGCCAGGGGAGCGAACGGGAUUAGAUACCCCGGUAGUCCUGGCCGUAAACGAUGGAUACUAGGUGUCAGCGGUAUCGACCCCGCUGGUGCCGUAGCUAACGCGAUAAGUAUCCCGCCUGGGGAGUACGGCCGCAAGGUUGAA